CACAUACUCCCUCUGUCCAGAAAUACUUGUCGGAGAAAUGGAUGUAUCUAGAUGCAUUUUAGUUCUAGACACAUCCAUUUUUACCCAUUUCCCCGACAAGUAUUUCCGGACGGAGGGAGUACAUG
rfam:Triticum urartu cultivar G1812 contig904340, whole genome shotgun sequence.